rnacentral:rRNA from 1 species
CGGACGGGUGAGUAACGCGUGGGUAACCUGCCUCAUACAGGGGGAUAACAGUUAGAAAUGACUGCUAAUACCGCAUAAGACCACAGCACCGCAUGGUGCAGGGGUAAAAACUCCGGUGGUAUGAGAUGGACCCGCGUCUGAUUAGCUUGUUGGUGAGGUAACGGCCCACCAAGGCGACGAUCAGUAGCCGGCCUGAGAGGGUGACCGGCCACAUUGGGACUGAGACACGGCCCAA